CACAAUCUGCCUUUAUCUGGGGACUAGCCCGAAGAAAUUCGGAUUAAUACCCCAUAACAUAUUUGGGUGGCAUCAUUUGAAUAUUAAAACUCCGGUGGAUAAAGAUGAGUGUGCGUCCCAUUAGCUAGUUGGCAGGGUAACGGCCUACCAAGGCGACGAUGGGUAGCUGGUGUGAGAGCACGACCAGCCACACGGGCACUGAGACACGGGCCCGACUCCUACGGGAGGCAGCAGUGAGGAAUAUUGGUCAAUGGACGCAAGUCUGAACCAGCCAUGCCGCGUGAAGGACGAAGGCCUUCUGGGUUGUAAACUUCUUUUAUUGGGGAAGAAAAUUACGGUUUCUACUGUAACCGACGGUACCCAAGGAAUCAGCACCGGCUAACUCCGUGCCAGCAGCCGCGGUAAUACGGAGGGUGCAAGCGUUAUCCGGAUUCACUGGGUUUAAAGGGUGUGUAGGCGGGUG
rnacentral:rRNA from 1 species